CUGAAGAGAACAAAAUUUCUGAUCAGUGUGCAGGAACCCAGGAGAGAGAAAAAAACAAAGAAAGCUUAAGAGUAGAGUAGAAAAUCUCAGAGAAAGAAAAGGGGUGCUUUGGGAUAAAAAUUUAUGAGGUUCAAUUAUCAAGCAAAUCGCACCCCUUUGGAUGUGAUUUGCGAUGGCAUGGAAAACAUGAGAAUAACACACACAAUCCACAAUCAAUUGGUCUACAAUUGUUCUCUUGCCAUUCAUUUACUAUUCCUAGUAAAUAUAGGCAAGCCAAUUUCAUCUAGAUAUGAGCAGGCAAUAAUAAAAAGAUUUGGUGAAUAAAAAUAUAGGUCAUCUCCAUUGACAAACACACACACACACACACACACACACACACACACACAAAAACCCGCAUGCAUUGAAAGCAAAACUUUUUCAUCAAGAUUUUGUCACUGUUGCAAGUCUACUCUGAAGCAUCUUAGAAGGAAAGAAAUCUUGAAGACUGCAAAGUGCCAGCUUUCCCUUAUAACUAGUCUAGAAUCCAAUCCAUCCCUUGUCAUUGAUGGUUUCCAAACAUGAGAAUUGAGUAAGUAGCUUAGAAUUGAAAUCAACGCUCCACAAUUCCAUAGUUUCCAAACGGGCUGUGAUUUAGUCAUAAUUUAAAACCUAAAAAGAAAAAGAAUAAAGAUAGCACUAAAAAAAACGAAAAGAAAAGGAAGGAGACCUGUCUAGCUUUGUCUUCCUCUUUAAGGCGUCUCUCUUCCUCUUUCUUCUUAUUCUUCAAUUCCUUCUUCAGCGCACUACAACAAUGUUAACAUGCACAAACCACAAUCAAAUCCACUUAACAAAUUAAUUUUAAGCAAUAACAAAUUAAUGAGAUAUAUAGCGAGAGACUUACUUCUUGCUUGUGGUUUUCUCAGCGGGAGCAGAAGCGUCGGUCUCCUCCAUUGUUGAAUCAGUAACGCACGCAGUUCAGGUGUUUGAGAGAGGGAAAUGCAGGGGAGGUGUUUGGAAGGCAACUACUGGCUGUUGCUGGUGCGUAAUUGUUCUUAUGGUAGUAAAAAUAACGCUAGCUAGGGCUUUUAUAAAAGGCCUUAGAAGUGGGUUCAGCAGAAUCGGCACAACACGAGACAAGACAAGUACUUUUAAAAACACUCUUUUAAAAAUUUUAAAUUUUUUUAUAUUUUAAAUUAAUUUUUUUAGUAAUUUUAAAUUAUUUUAAUAUACUGAUUUUAAAAAUAUUUUUUUAAAAAAUAAUAAUUUAAUAUAUUUUUAAAUAAAAAUCAUUUUAAAAAACAAUAUAUACCCAAGCUAAAGCUUUUCUCUUAAGGCCCAUUUAAUACUAAAAUUUUGUUCGUCAAAGGAGAAAGAAAAUGUGCCGAAAACAUGCUUACUUGCCCAUCACACAAAUGCAACCAUGACAAGGGUUCAAUGUAUAAAAAAAUAAAAAAAUAAUAUUUAAAAUUUGAGAGACCUAAAUUAUCUCCAUGAAAAGAACCAAAAUGAUUGGUCCGUGAAAAGUCAGUUCGCGCGUAUCAUAUUCCCACGUCCCUCCUUUUCUUGGCCCCCAAGCACCUUACGGAUUUUGUCAGCUGGCAGUCGUGCAUCUUAGUAUUUCUUUAACAAGUGUAGGUGACUAAAUUCUACCCAUUUUACUAUUAUUAUUAUUAUUAUUAUUAUGCAUAUUAAAUUAUAAGUGUAUUUCUUGACUGUGCUUGCUUGCUUGCUGCCAAAAUAAUAUUAAAUUUUGAUCUUCGAUUCUGCAGAGGUGUUUCGAUCCUAAUCUUUUACUUUUCUAAUCCUCUGUCUUUAACAUGCAUUGAAUUGAAAAUGUGGUUGUGAUUGUUUUUUAAAAAUAUUUUUUAUUUAGAAAUAUAUUAAAAUAAUAUUUUUUUAUUUUUAAAAAAUUAUUUUUGAUAUCAACACAUCAAAAUAAUCUGAAAAUACCAAAAAAAUAUUAAUUUGAAAUAAGAAAAAAAAUAAAAAAAAUUAUUUUUUUAAAAAAUACUUUUAAAAUAUAAAAACAAACAUGGCUGAAAAACUAUUAUAGAUAAUAAAUAAUAAUAAUCAGCUCCCAUCUUGUUGAAUUCCUCUUCAGUUUCCUUUCUCAAACUUUUAAGAGUUUCAGUUUUAUUUAUUCACAUUAAAUUCAGAUUUUAUUACACACAUUCGAUAUGUGAUAAUAAAAAAAAUUAAAUCAAGUUAUUGAUAAUUUUAACUUGAUUUAAUUUUUUCUUCAGGUCCAACAAUAUACGUGUAAAGCCCGGUCUAGAAAAUCGGUAAACCGGUGUUGAAAGGGUAAUCCUCCAUUAAAAAAUGGUAAAUGAAGAGGAAGAAUUAUUGUUGUAUAGGAUGAACAUCCCUGGUGAGUUAACUUAAAUUUAUGAUGAAAUAAAAUAAUAAAAUUAAUAUGUAAAAUGUUAAUUAGUAUUAGUGAUAAAUUCGUGUAAAAUAUUUAUUGUAAAGGCAAGAUUUUUGUAAAUUUGGGGUGAAAUUAUUUAGAAAUAUAUUUUGAAAUUUCAAAUAAAUUAAUGUAUGAUUUUAUGCAUAAGUAACUAUAACCGCUAGUAUAAGCCCCGCGUACAAUCUUGCAGUUUUUAAUCAAAAGAUGAUGAAAGUUUUCAAUGAAUUAGUUUGAAAAUCUUAACAAUUCAAGUAAAUAAACAUUAUGAAAAAUGAUAUGAUUAAGGAAAUGUUGAAUAAGCAAAUUCAUAUUUUAGUGUAAAUUUGUUCAGUUUUAUGUUAUCAAGGAUAACUUUUAAUUCAAUUGUUAGAUUAGGCUGAAAUUUCUCAAAAUAUCUUCUAACGUAUUGUUCUAUCUUAGAGUUAGAAUUUCACGUCAUUCAGUAUUUAGAAAGUCCAUAUAAAUUUACCGGUCACCAAGAGAAAAUAUCAAAAAUUAACACGUGGACCAUUAGUAAUGGUAAAAUUAUAAAUAAGAUAAAAAUUUCUUAUUCCUCCUUCGUAAACUUACGUGCAGCUGGAAUUAAAGGGGGAGAGACCCUAGCUUAUUUCUUCUUCUUCUUGUUCUUGGUUUUUCUUUGGGAAAUUGGCCAGUGAGAUGGAAAAUGAGAUUACAAUAAGAAAGAAACUACCUUGAGGCCGCAAAUUUGGUUGGGAAGAGAAGAGAGAGAAGUAGUUUCGGCUAUGGAGAAAAAGAAACAAAUGAAUUGAAGAAGAAAGGAGUUGGAAGCUAAAGCUUGCAAGGAAGUUGUUUUGACACUAAAAUUGAUUAUUAAUGUAUUCUUUACUAUGAGUUUUAUAAUUGAUUAAGAUUUUAAGCAAUUUUAAAUGAAAUUCCCAAAUCUUUCAAGUUAUGGUUCUUAGUAAAAAAUUAAGGGAAUUGCAAAAUUAGUUUUAAAUUUGUUAAUUGGUGUGAAAUGAGUUGUGAUGAAUGUGAAAUUAUAGAGAGAUGAAAAGAAAAACUUGGUGUCAUGGAGAGUUAAGGACCUGCCAAAUUAGAGAGAAAAAGGAUAUUGGUUUAAUUGAUCUCAAUGUUUAUAAAUUAUAUGUAAUUAAUGUGUAUUGGUACGAGGAUGAUGAUUUGAGAUGAAUUUUGUUUUGAGAUGAAUUUCGUUAUUGUAUUUAAUUAUAUUUGAACUUGUAGUGCAUAUUGAUUUAGGAUUCUUGAAAUUUAAUUUGAAAAAAUGCUUGAUUAUGGUGUUUUUAGUUAAGGGAUAUGUAAUGAUUGGUUGUUGUGAAAAUUGAGAUAGAUUAGGGGAAGAAAAAAGCCUUGGGGUCGAUCAUGAAUGAGUCCUAGGGAAUCUAAAUAAAUUAUUAAUAAAUUUUAAUAAAUUGUGAUUUAUUUGUAUGUAUUAUUGAUGUAAUAAUGUUUGAGAGAGUAAUGAUUACUAUUAUUUAUGAAUUUGGUUUUGUAUGAGUUUUUAUGGGAUUGUUUGAUUUUUAAUGUUUAUGGGUUAGGGGGUGUUUGGUAGUGUGAUAAUGAUUGCUUUUCAAAAUAUUUUUCGUUUGGAAAUGCAUCAAAAUAAUGUUUUUUUAUUUUAAAAAAAUUAUUUUUUACAUCAACGCAUCAAAACGAUAAGAAAAGAUAAAAUUAUGAAUGAUUAUAACAACGAAACUAGUAAUAGAUAAUUAUGUUCGACUGCAAUGGCGGUAACCCGAAUUUAAUCGUCAUCUGCUGGAACGACAAAACUUGUGAAUAACUGUGAUCAAUCGCAAUGGCGGUGACCAACACGUAAUGUGAACGAUCAUAAUGACAGUAAUCAAUAUAUAAAUUAUAAUCGACCACAACAAUGGAAUCUAAAAAUAAUAAAAGUAGGUAAAUUGGCGGCAAAGAUGGACUAUUGUAUAGAUUAUUGAAUGUGUUUCGAAUGAGCAAUGAUAUCAAAUGAAUUAUGCCUUCAAUGCGGGAAAUGAUGCCUAUAGGGAGGGAAAAUGAUAUUAAAUGAAAUAUGCCUUCAGGGAGGGGAAUGGUAUCAAAUGAAUUAUACCUUCAGGGCAGGAAAACAAUAUCAAAUGAGUCAUGCUUUAAGGGUGAGAAAUGAUAUCAAAUAAAUUAUGCAUUUGAGGUGAAAAAAAUGUUAUAAUAAAAAAAACACCUUUGCGACAAUGACUUUUAAUUUAAACUUAUACUGGUCGAGAUGGAAAGGGCUAAAAGUAUUCAAAGACAUAAGUUACAAGUAAUGAGAAGAAUUGCUGAAUAUGGAUGAUGUAAAACAUUAACCAAAAUUAUUGCAUUGAAUUGAUGAGUACAUGGUUGAUGUACAAUACAUGUUAUAAGUGUUGAGAUAAAUUAAUGACUAGUGUAUGUAAUAUAUAGAUCUCAAAUAUUGAAAUGGGUCAUUGAAUAUAAUCGAUGUAAAUCCCAAGCUAUGAUUAUUGAAAUAGAUCUAUGAAUGUACAACGACAUAAAACAUGAAAUGAUAACUAUUAACAUGAAUAAACAAUCGUGGUUGAUGUAAACUCCAAGCUAAAAUUAUAGAAAUAAAUCAAUGAAGUUAUAGUUGACGUAAAAUAUAAAUUAUGGUAUUGAAAUAAAUUGGUGAAUACGAUAGAUGUAAUGUAUGAAUUUUGAGUACCAUAAUCACUCGGGGAAUUUAGGUAAUUUAUGUAGAAUAAUGAGUUAUGAUGAUUAUUGAAUCGGGUAAAUGAAUACGGUUUUUGUAAAGUAAAAGCUAUGAUUAUGGAAUUGAGAUAAUAAAUCCUAUUAUUAAGAUAAGAUCAACUGAAAGGUAUUGGAUUGGGUAAAUGAGUGUGGUUAUUCUAAGGUAUAAGCUAUUAAUAAGAAAAUGAAAUAGAUUAAUGAAUCCAGAAGUUAAAUUAAAGUUUGAGUAAAUGAAAUUGAAUGGGAUAAAUGAAUCUACAAUUAAGUUAAAACAUGAGUUAUGAGUAUAAUAUGAGAUUAAUAAAUCUUUAAUUGGAUUGAAGCACUAAAUAUGAUUAUUGAAAUGAAUUAAUGAAUGCAUAAUUGAUAUAGAUCAUGAGUUCGGAGUAUAUAGAUAAAUCGAGAAACAUAUUUCAUUAAAAGCAGGAGUUGUGGUUUUUAAAAUGAGAUAAUGUAUAUGGUUAAUUUAAAGCAUGACUUAUGAUUAUCUGAAAAGAAUUAUUGAAUACAUAGUUAACAAAAUUUUAAGGUAUCCAAGGUGGUGACUUAUAAUAAAGAUUAAUGACAUUGUGUUUGUUACUAGAAUUGUAAUAAAAAUAUUAGUGGUACUGAAAGCGGACAUGCUUACUCUAUUUUCUACGUGAUACGGGUAUGUUUCAUCUCUCACUACAAUCUUGAUUUUGCUAAUCAAACUUUCAUGGUCAUUUUAUUAGCAGAAGAAGAUUGUAAAUUUAUCAUGAUUAUGUAAAUAACUUAUCACAUGUAUUUAAGUAAUACACACACAAGAAGGAAAUGAUUAUUCUUUUUUAAUUUGAAAAUGAUUUUAUAUAUAUAAAGAGAGAGAAUUACCUCCAAAUUUCACAUACACAACAAUUAAAAAGAAAAUAUUUGUAUGAAAAGUUUGGGUUGUUACAAUACAUAUAAAUCAAUGAAUAUGAUUUCUUUUUUUUUUCUUUACAAGUGUCUCAUGAGAUAUAUUCGCGAGUUAAAGGUGAUAUAUCAACGAAUUAAAAGUAAAAAUGAAAAAAAUAAGUUGUUGUCUAGUUUUUAUAUUAACUAGAAACCCUAAUCGGUAUUCAAAGAAUUUUUAAUAAGAGAUUGAUUAUGUUAGGGAAGAUAAAAUUAAAUCACCAUAAAGCAUCAUAUUUAAGAUAAGUUGCAUUGUUAUUUAUUUUUAAUAAUAAAUACACCUAUUAUGCUUUUACUAAAGCUUAUCUUAACUAGUAUAUACAUCUUUCUUAUUAAAGAAAAAAACUACUAAAACUCAAAACAGUGAUUCGAGUCUUAAGCCUAAUAAUAAAACUUAAUCCUUACUUUCAAAAUUUAAGGCAUUAACUUGAAAGAAUAGUAAAUGAUUAAAUGGACUUCAAGCUCGUUUUCUUAAAUUAUAUUCAAAAUAAGCUCAAAAGCCUUAAUUCACAUUUUAUGAGCCUUGGUAAGGUAAGAUUAACCUACCCCAGAUUCACUCAUAAUAAUAGGGUAAUAUAUCUUGGCCUAAAAAAAUAAUUAUAAAUAAGCAUUUUGAAUGCAUUGAUAAAAAAAAAAAACACAUAUAUAAGAACCAAAAGCUGGAAUAAUUUACGUGAUAUGUUGUUGUUGUUGAUAUUAUUAUUAUUCUUAUUAUUAUUAUAGUCACCUGACUAUACAGGUGGAAUAGCGGUGUACCUGUUUGAAAGUGUGGUUGCAGUUGCUUUUCAUAAUAUUUUUUAUUUUUAAAAAUUAUUUUUGAUAUCAGCGCAUCAAAAUGAUCUAAAAACACCAAAAAAAUAUUAAUUUGAAGCAAAAAAAAUAAAAAAAUUUCAAAAUUUUUUAAAAGCGCUUUUGAAACGCAAAAACAAACAGGUGAAUGAAAAAGCUAUGCAUCAAGGAGCACCCUUCAAUUCAUAUAUCAAAUCCAUGUGUGUGAAUAUAUAUAUAUAUAUACACACACACACACACACUUUUAUGCAUAGUUAUUUAACCCGGAUCGGUCAAUCAAGUUGCUGGACCGAUUCGAGUAAGAUUAAAGACCGGCAAGAGCAAAAAAACAGUCAAACCCAGUCCGCUGGGUCGACCCAUGACCAGGGCGAUCCAGUGUUAAAACUGGGCCUGGUUAAAGAAAAAAUAGGAAAAAUCAUGACCAGGUGUGACCCGGCCGACCAGGCGGGUUGACCCGGAGACCCGGUCAAAAACCUGGUUGGACCCGUUGACCUUUUUUUUUACUAAAACGACGCCGUUUUGAAUUUUUUUAAAAAUAGAAAUUGACCCGGGCGACCCGAUGACCCGGUCAAAACCCGGAACCCGGGUCUUGGACCGGACCAGGUUUAAAAACUAUGCAUUUCUCCACUGAAAACACUGGUGCUCUAUUUAACAAAAAAAAAAAUAGAAUUUGAGUUUAUUGUACGUAAAAAAUUAAAAGAUCAAAAUUAAAACAAAUAAAUAAUAGCAAGCCUUUUGUUUUUAAGAAAAAUAUAAUAUUAAUUUUGAUCCUUUUUUUAUCUUUGAUUCUCAACCUUUUCUUUUAUUUUCAACUUGAUUUUUUUAUGUUGUGUUGAUUGAAAUUUAAAAUUAAUAAAAUAUUAUGAUUUAUUUUUUAUUCGAUUAUCCUAAUCUCAAGAAAAGUCAAACUAUUGGAUUGACACUUGUUUUCAUGAAAAAUAGUCCAAUUUUAUUGUUUAAGAGAAAUUAAAGAUGAGGAGAUCAAAAUUGAAACAAAGAUAAAAUAUGAGGCCUUUUAAAAAAAAAUGUGUUGGCACCUUUUGCCUUUGCGAUCUUAUCAAAUUUCUUUCUUGGUCCCUUUAGUUUGUAAAUUAAACAAUUUGGUUUAAAAUUUUAUUUUGCUCACAUUUUGUUUUGUGAGUUUGGAAAAGGAUAUAAAAUUAUCGAAUUACAAUAAAAAAAGGUGACUUUUCAAUGAUAAAACUUGUUAUCCUUUGUACUAAUAAAUGAGGAGAGUUUCAUUUAAGUUUUUUUUCCCUUCAAUUUGCAUAAAAAAGUAGACAUGGUCUCAAAAAUGUUUUUGGAUUUGAGUUAGUUUUUUGUUUUUAAUUAAUUAAAUGUUGAUUUAAUAUCAUAAAUGAAUUUUUAAGGUACAUUGGGUGUUUCUUUGGUGUUUUUUAUUGUAAAGGAAAUUUUUUACCCCUUGAAGUUGAUUGUCCAACAUUCCAACCAACUGUUAUAACUAAAGUCUGAAAUGAAAGGUGACACAAUGCUUGUUGUUUGUCCCAAACGUACAUGUUUAGGUAUUUUUUUUAAAGGCUUAAUUCCCCGUGCUUGAUUUAUUUUUUUUCCUUUAAUUUUUUUUUUAUUUCAACUUUCAAAGUUGUUUUCUUAUUUUUUUUUAUUUUCACCUUUAACAUUUUAUUAAUUUUAAAUUGGUUUUAUAAUUUAUUUCGAUUUAUUUUUUAUAAGUUUAUCAUAGUCUCAAACAAACUUCCUAGCAUUUGGUUGUUGUUCAAUUUUGUGAGCGUCUAUUUUUUUUUAUCAAAUAAUAAAAUAAAGUUUAGUUUCAAAAAAAAGUUAUUAAUUAAAAGUAAAGGAGUCCACGACCCGAAUCACGAGUUUGAUGGGUUAACUUGGGGUAGUUAGACAAUGAGUUUCAUAAUUUGUUUUAGUUUAUUUUCUAUGAGGUUAUUGUAGUGUUAAAUAAACGUCUUAUUUGGGUUGGUGCUCCAUUUUGCAAGUAUAUAUUAUAUAAUUAAAUAUAUAAUAGUUUUAAAAAAAGAUUAUUAAGCUCAAUCAAAUCCAUGAACCGUGUCGUGGAUUUGGAGGGUUAGCUUAGGUUACUUUGAAACUGACUUCAUAAUUUAUUUCGGUUUGUUUUAUAUGGGAUUGUCGGUCUCGACCAAACAUCAUAACAUUGAAUUGUUGCUUAAUUUUGUUAGUAAUUUUUUUAUCAUAUAAUUAAAUAAAAAAUAAUUUAAAAACUUUUUCUCAACCUGAUAGAGUCUAUAACCCAGAUUACAGAUCUGGCGAGUUAGACCGUAAAACUCGGGUAGAUCCAAUAUAUUACUAUUUUAAUAUUUUUUUUAAAUAAUAAUAUAUUGAAAUCUAGUAAAAGUCAUACCAUGUUUUUUUAGAUAGUUCAAAUUAUUUUUGAAACUACCAGGCUAACUGUGUAAUGUUAGGAUAAUUCUUGCAUGAUUUUAAUGUGAAACUUUGGUUAAGUAAGAAAUCGGAUCAAAAUACUUAUAGGUUAACCCAUUGGCUACCAAAAAGAUUCCCACAACCUAAAUAUUUAUUUUAUAUGUUAAAAUAUGUUUUUAUGUGACUUGCGGCAUAACACAAACCACCUAUAUAGUUUAUGUGUUUAUUUAAAGACAACUAUGUACUAGUGAUUUUAUUUUAUUUGGUCCUUAAUUUUUCAACAUAAAUAUAACUUAGUCCUUUAUAUUUCAAGAACCUAUAACAUAGCUCCUUCAAUAAGUAAAAUAAAAUAGCAUGCAACGUUAAGAAGUACGCUAACCAAUUAAGCAGUGACUGAACGGAAAACUGUAAAAGCAACUCACAAGGGCAUUGUUGGAGCACCCUUAAAUAGAGGGAUAGAGAUAAGGAAAAAAACCGAAAAACUGAUUAAACCGGAAAAAAAAUAACCGGAAAAACUGAAUCGUGAAAAAAAACCGAUUAAAAUUUUGAAAAAAACGAUCGGUUCGGUUCGGUUUUGGUUUUAUAAGUCUGAAACUGAAAAAACCAAACCGAACCUAAACCGGAAAAAAACCGAGCCUAACCAAAAAAAUCAAGCCAAACCAGUUUGAACCGGUUUUUGUCCAAAAAAACCAAACAUCAUAACAUUGAAUUGUUGCUUAAUUUUGUUAGUAAUUUUUUUUAUCAUAUAAUUAAAAAAAUAUAGUUUAAAAACUUUUUCUCAACCUGAUAAAGUUUAUAACCCAGAUUACAGAUCUGGCGAGUUAGGCCGUGAAACUCGGGUAGAUCCAAUGUACUGCUAUCUUAAUAAUUUUUUUUAAAUAAUAAUAUAUUGAAAUCUAGUAAAAGUCAUACCAUGUUUUUUUUUUAUGAUAGUUCAAAUUAUUUUUGAAACUACCAGGCUGACUGUGUAAUGUUAGGAUAAUUCUUGCAUGAUUUUAAUGUGAAACUCUGGUUAAGUAAGAAAUCGAAUCAAAAUACUUAUAGGUUAACCCAUUGGCUAUCAAAAAGAUUCCCACAAUCUAAAUAUUUAUUUUUUAUGUUAAAAUAUGUUUUUAUACGACUUGCGGCAUAACACAAACCAUCUAUAUAGUUUAUAUGUCUAUUCAAAGACAACUAUGUACUAGUGAUUUUAUUUUAUUCCGUCCUUAAUUUUUCAACAUAAAUAUAAAUUAAUCCUUUUUAUUUCAAGAACCUAUAACAUAGCUCCUUCAGUCUAAAUAAGUAAAAUAAAAUAGCAUGCCACGUUGAGAAAUACGCUAACCAAUUAAGCAGUGACUGGACGGAAAACUGUAAAAGCAACUCACAAGGGCAUUGUUGGAGCACCCUUAAACAAGAAAAUCUCGGUACACAAAUCAAAGUAAAAGAAAAAAAUAUUAAUUAUAAUAAAAUAAAAUAAAAUAAUGUAUUAUCUAUUUAUCUAUCAAUUAUAUAAUUAUCGAAGAACAUAGAAACAAAGGAGCAUGCUAACUAAGGGAUAGAGGGGAGCCAAAAAACUGAAAAACUGAUUAAACCGAAAAAACCAAAAAACAAAUAACUGAAAAAACCAAACCGUGAAAAAAAACAGAUUAAAAUUUUAAAAAAACUGACUGGUUCGGUUUUAUAAGUUUGAAACCGAAAAAACCGAACUGAACCCAAACCGGAAAAAAACGGAGCCAAACCAAAAAAACCAAACCAAACCAGUUUGAACCGGUUUUUGUCCAAAAAACCCGAACCGAAACCGGUCGGUUUGAACAGGUUUCGGUUCGGUUUUGGUUUUUUUUUAAAAAAAAAAUAGUUUGGUUACUUUUUUUUAAUAAAAAUCGAACCGAACAAAAAAUAAUCACCCCUACCGAGGAAUAUAAUCAUUUGAGGGGUCAACUAAUCAAGGAUCGUGAUUUUUGAAUAGCCAAGCAAUCGAGAAGAUUUUUUUGGAUAUAUAUAUAUAUAUAUAUAUAUAUAUAUAUAUAUAUAUAUAUAUAUAACCUGCAGCCUAUUUCCUAGUUUAUCUCUCCUUUCUAUGGAUUCCGUUUUCCACAUGACUACUUCCAUUUCAGCUUACUCUACCUCUGAAUCUUCUAAAAGCAGAAGGAUUGUACAAAGUGAAUAGAUAACUAUUGAAGAUUUUACAAAAAACAUUGAUGAUUGAAAAUUUUCAAAAAUUUCUCAAACUCAGAUUUAUCAAAAAUCUAAAUAUGAUAUUUUCAAAACCGAUUUCACUAUCAAAACUGAAGAAAGAGAUAUUCAGCUUAUAAAAUCUUUUGAAACCAUCCAACUCCUCUCUCAAAAAUCCUUACAAAAACAUCUAGCUCGAAAUUAUAAAUAUAUCCAUGUUGGCCUUAUCGAAGUCUGGAUAAAACCCCUUACAAAAAAAGGUUUGAACACCUCCAUUCUAGCUGUCCUUCGGGAUGCUAGAUUUCAAAACUUCCAAGACUCCCUCCUCAGUUCUAUUGAGUCUAGCCUUUGCAGUGGCCCGGUAUCAUUUGACUGUUAUCCAAACAUAACCAUAUCCCUCAAAGACAAGAAUAUUUUGCAAAGUAUGCUACUACAAAUAAAGACCCAUAAUUAUGACAUGCUAGAAGGAUCUAUCCAUGUUGCUCUCAUAUUCAAAAUUCACUACAAAGCCAUGUUCUCAGCCUUUGCCAGCAAACACAAAUUCCAAUCUCAAAAAGGCGAAACACUCAUUCUACAAACAGAUUUAUCCCGCUCAAACACUGUUGUCCCAAAAGCAAUCUAAUGGAAAGAUAUAUCCCUUCCAGAAGAUUGGAUCCUCGAAGGUGUAGCACCACCAGAAUUACCUCAACCACCUCAACCCAAUAUCCAAAUUAAAAACAUUACCCAGUACACAUAUUGGAAAAGUCAAAUUGUCUUUCCAUCGACACUCUACAAGUUCUAGAUUCUCAGAAGAAUCUUCCUCUUCCAAUACAAUAGAUCUAGGAAGAAUUUCCAAAAUCCCUUCUAUUAUCAAUAUCCCUUAUUACGCAAACCCUCCUAGAAAAUCUACAUAUGAUAUCCCUUCUACUAGUUUCCAAAAUGCAGACUACACUACAAAUAUACCAAAACUUGUUUAUACAGACCUUGAGCAACCAUCUCCUCCAGCUUCACCAACCUUUUCAGCUGUUACUGAAAACAUCCAAAACGAGUUGAAUGUUUUGACUUCAGAAAAGCAUUUUUCAUAAACAAAACUCUUUUCAGAAGAGAUUUUUAUGGUGAUCAUAAUAUUGAAAAACGCACUUGGUUUUUUCAACAUUUUCUCCAACAAAGAACUGAUAUCCAAAAACAAUUUUAUGCUUACAUUGAAACCCAUAAAGUACAAAUUUUGUUCUUUGAUUGGUUUGAAUUUCAUUAUGUGCCAAUACAACAUAUUACAUAUCUAUUUGCAUCCAUUAAACAUGCAUGUCCUAUCACAACCCGUUCCAAAACUCCUACAUGGACCCUUACCAGUGGACCUACAGUUGAGUUUGACCAUCCACCUUUACGCAACAUACAACUUACUCACAAAAACCAGACAGUUGAUGAAGCUCCAUACAAAUUACCCUGAGAAGAUACUCUCACAAACACCAAACAUAUCAUUUAACAAAACAAUUUCACAAACACCAACCUUCAUCCAUUUCAUGACUGAUAAAAACCCCAUUGACCUCAAGCUAAAAAAACCCAGUAUUCAAACCCUACCAAGUUACUAAAACAAGCCAAGCACAAAUCCAAGAAAACCAAACAGAUUUUCUUAGAGCCAUUAAAACACACCUACAAAACAUUGACCGAACAACCUUGACUGUCCCAGACACACCUCAACAAUCCAACCCUUCAUCCUCUAUAAAUCAGGUUAAUACUCUUCAAAAUAACCCCGUAUCAACCUCCGAUAUAGAUACUUUUCAAGAACAGCCUUUUCAACUACACAGACUUACCUGGCAAGCUCCCAAAACGACCAUUGCUCCAGACAUUUCCAUAUCUACUGAACCAACUGUCAUUAGCCAACAUAAAUAUAAUGCUUCUUCCCUCUAUGAAUGGAACAUAGAUGAGAUGUCUAAGUACAAUAUCUUAAACACCCUCCAGCAAAUGACCAUGGCAGCUAAUGCCUACAAAACCUAAACAGGAACCCCAGAUAAAGCCAUAGUUGAACUCCUUAUUGCAGAUUUCUCUGGCCAACUUAAAGGAUGGUGGGAUUACCAUCUCACUGAAACAGACCACUUACAUAUUCUAAACUCUAUACAAACCUAUGAAGACCAAACACCAAUCCUUGAUCCUUCAGGAAACACCAUCCAAGAUGUUGUGUCCACCCUUAUCCUUACCAUCUCCUUAUAUUUUGUCGGAGAUCCUUCCCAUCUGAAAGACAAAAAUGUUGAACUUCUCUCCAACUUUCGGUGCAAGAAACUCAGUGACUUUCAGUAGUAUAAAAAUACCUUCCUUACUCGUGUUAUGCUUCGGGAAGAUUCAAACCAGCCCUUUUGGAAAGAAAAAUUCCUUGUAGGCUUACCAAUUCUCUUAGGAGAAAAGGUCCGAAACAAAAUUAAGGAAACCUUUACAACCAAAACCAUACCAUAUGACUAGCUUACAUACAGUGAGCUUGUGAGUUUCACAAAAAAAGAAGGUCUUAAGAUCUGCCAAGACCUCAAACUCCAAAAACACCUAAAGUGGGAAAUGAAACGUACCAGGCAAGAACUUGGUAGUUUCUGCCACCAGUUUGACCUUUCCACUAAAAAACCCUCCUGCAGUGGAACCUGUUCACAACCCAAAAAAUGUUCAAGCCAAAAACCUCCUUAUAAACGAACAACCCAUAAAUACCGACAACGGUUCUAUUCCAAACCAGAUCAACCUUACUACAAAAAGCCCUACAAAUUUACCAAACCAUAUAGACCUUUCCAGUCAAAACCAAAACAAAAAUUUGAUCCCAAAAACAUUACCUGUUACUAGCUCUGUUACCCUUCAUCUAACCCUUCAAGCCGCUCUAUUUUACCCUCUACUAGCACUAAUACCUAUGACCUUACAAAGAUCCUUAACAAAAAGAAAUCUAAAACCACAAUCACCAUUCCAGAAUUACAUUCUGAGAUCAAAACUCUCAAAUCCGAACUACAAACCCUAAAACAAGCCCAACAAAAAGACUCUGCCAUAUUACAACAUCUUCAGUCCAAAAUCGAAAGCCAGUCUGACACUGAGUCUGAACCAGAAGAUCAAACCAUUGAAUCUCAUGUAUUGCCCCAUACACUUACAAAUAUUGAGCAUAUUCCAGAUGAUUUCCUGAAUGUAUUAACACAAAUAUCUUCAAAAAAAAUAUUUGAUUCAGAUUACGUUUAUUUUCUCAGAAGAUUUCAAACUUGACACUAUUGCCUUAUUUGACACAGAUGCAUAUUUAAACUGCAUCAAAGAAGGCGUAGUUUCAAAAUGAUUUUUACAAAAUACCUCUAAAAAUCUCUCUGCUGCUAAUAAUUCAAAAUUGCAUAUUGCAGGAAAAACCCAAGCCUCUGUUUUCAACAACGGUAUUUCUCUUAAAACAUUCUUUGUUGUUACAAAAGAUAUUAAUCAUACCAUCAUUCUUGGUACUCCAUUCAUUGACAUGAUCACUCCAUAUCAAGCACAUCAUAAUUGUAUUACUUUCAAAAUCAAUAGCAUCAAACUCGUUUUCCCAUUCUUAGAAAAAUCUAAGACUAGAAAUUUGAAUUUGAUUAAAGCAUGUUCCAUACAUACUUAUCAUAUCAAUGCACUGAUUCAUGGCAAACAAUUCCACCUACAUGAUUUACAAAACCAUAUCUCUUUUUGUCGUAUCAACAAACAAUUACAAAACUUUGAUUUACAAAAGAAAAUCAUUGAUUUACAAAAUACGUUUGAACAACAGAUCUGUUCAGACUUACCUAAUGCUUUCUGGACAAGAAAACAACACAUCGUUGAUCUUCCCUAUGAAGAUACUUUUUCAGAAAAACUUAUACCUACAAAAGCAAGACCUAUACAGAUGAAUGCUGAUUUAGAACAGCAUUGCAGACUUGAAAUCCGCGAUCUCGAGUCUAAAGGUCUUAUCCAAAAGUCAAGAUCACCCUGGUCGUGUGCAGCCUUUUAUGUGAACAAAAACUCUGAAAUUGAAAGAGGCACACUAAGACUUGUGAUCAAUUACAAACCUUUAAAUUCUGCUUUAAAAUGGAUCAGAUAUCCAAUUCCCAACAAAAAAGAUUUGUUGCAAAAAUCGCACUUUGCAUUCAUAUUUUCUAAAUUUGAUAUGAAAUCCGAAUUUUGGCAAAUCCAGAUUGAUCCCAAAGAUAGAUACAAAACUACUUUUACAGUUUCUUUUGGCCAAUACGAAUGGAAUGUCAUGCCCUUUGGCUUAAAAAAUACACCAUCUGAAUUUCAACGCAUCUGAAUGACAUCUUCAAUGCACAUUCAAAAUUCUGUAUUGUUUACAUUGACGAUGUGCUUAUUUUUUCACAUUCCAUAGAUCAACAUUUCAAACAUCUACAUACAUUCUUUCAUACUGCAAAACAAAAUGGUUUAGUUGUUUCUAAAACAAAAAUUUCUCUCUUCCAAACCCGUGUCCGUUUCCUAAGCUACUAUAUCAGCUAAGGCACUGUAACACCAAUAGAGAGAUCUUUAACCUUUACAAACAAAUUUCCUGAUAAGAUCACUGAUAAAACCAAUUGCAAAGGUUUUUAGGCAGUAUAAAUUAUGUUUUGAAUUACUAUCCCAAUAUUAGUCAUCUAACCAAACCUUUACGUGACAGGUUAAAAACCAACCCCAUUCGCUGGUCUGACCUCCAUACCGACCUAGUCAAACAGAUCAAGAAACAAGUCCAAACCAUUCUUCUCCUCCAUUUAGCUAAUCCCUUAGCUCCUAAGAUAGUCGAGAACGAUGCCUCUGACCUAGGAUAUGAUGGAAUUCUUAAAGAAGUACAAGAUAACAAAGAACAAAUACUCCAGUACACAUCCGCCCACUGGAAUGACUGUCAAAAAAAUUACUCCACUAUAAAAAAGGAGAUCCUUUCAAUUGUUUUUUGUAUUACAAAAUUUCAAAGUGAUUUGUUAAAUCAAAAAUUUCUUUUACGUGUUGACUGCAAAUCUGCAAAAGAAGUUUUACAAAAAGAUGUCUAAAAUCUUGCUUCAAAACAGAUUUUUGCCCGAUGGCAAGCUAUUUUAAGUAUUUUUUAUUUCGAUAUUGUCUACAUGAAAGAAGAUUCAAAUUCAAUCCCUGAUUUUCUAACCCGAGAAUUCCUUCAAAACAAGUCAUGAUGCCUCCUAAAGCAAAAGCCAAAGACAAGGGGAAAGCCCCUUAAACCCAGCCUACAAAACCAGAAAGCCCCAAGCCUUCUGCAAAACUCAUGUCUUCCGCCAUCUUAGCUGCCAAACCUAUCAAAUCUUGGUAUGAGGCAGUUAUUGAGGAAGAAGAAACUACAAAACCACCACAGGUACAAACAGACACAGUUCAACAUUGGGUUAACACUAUAUCCAAAUCAUCAGAGUUACUCAUGGCAUUACAAAAAGUGUCCCAACAAGCCUCCAGUGACUUCGUAUCUCAAACAGGUAGUAUUUCCAAAUCCCUUUCAAAACCCUAAGGAGGCAUUUCUGCUUCAAAACCCCUCCUUUCUUUACAACAAACCAAUUUUUCAAAAACCAAAUCCAAAUAUAUUUUCAAAACUACUUUCCAAAAUAUUUUAACUAUGGAAGAAGGAUUUUAUCAUGAAAAUCCUUUCAUUGCUGCUUCAAAAAAUUUCCCUCAAAAUUGGCACUACAAACCCUGGAAUUUAGCCAAACCACAAUCCUACUAUGCUGCCAUCCUUGAGAUUACUAAUUCUGUCAAGUUCAAACACUUCAAACUACAUUCUGAUCACACUGAACCGGCAUAUUCUACAUGCAUCAUUCACAAGGUUAUCCACCCUAAAGAUUGGGGACAACCUUUACAUCAACCUCUCUCCUUCCCCAUACACUUCCGUACAAACCCCCAGGACUUCAAUACUUCCUAUACAUAUUGGGAUUACCAACAUGCAUGGUUCAAUGAUUUCCUCCUACAAAAUCAAAACCAUAGUCAUUCUUGGCUUUUCUACUUCCAUAGCGUCAUGAAUACUACAAACCUCCCCCUAUGGUUCCUCCAAUGGUGGGACUACUAUGGUUGUCAUGUUGACUACCUCAAAGAACAUCCUCUGGUUGAAAAUGGUUACCUUCACUUCAAAAAUAACUUCCAACCAGUUCUUUCUGAAAGGAAGUUUUCUUCCCUUCUCAUUUUCUGUACAAAUUUUUUUGUUCCAUGAGUAUGUUCGUGAUUCUAUGAAUAUAAUCUACAAAACAAAAAUCCAGUACUUGUUCGCAAAUUCAAAAUCAAAUGGUGGGAUUCCUUUGCAGUUGAGUCCAAAAGUUCCAAAUUAGCUGUUACGGAAUGGCUACAAAAACACCAAACAACUCCCAUCAUUGAUCAUCAUCCUCAAUCAAAAUUUCUAGCCUGAAAUGCUCAAACGGCAGCUCUCCUUGCCUCUGCUAGAACAGAGGAAGAAUACCUACAAAUAGUACUAGGCAUUAUACAAAGCCAAGACCCGAAAACAGUCUUGUCCCAAUCCAGCUCAUCUGGCUCGACAACUCCUGUCGUUUCCCUUGGAGACGAUAAUGAAGAUGACUGUUUUGGUAUCCUGCUGCCUAUCAAGCGACAUUAAAAAAAAAGAGUAUUUCAGGCUCAUCUGUUUAGAGCCCAUAUCUUUCGACUCAACUGUUUUGAGUCCCUUUUUAUUUUAAAGCCCAUUUGUUUUAGGCUUUUUUCCUAUAAAUAUUACUUGUCACUGCAAACAGACAAAUCCACUGUCAGUGGCAAGAAGACAACAAAUGAAAGUCCCAUAAAAAAACAUGGGCAAUUUUCAUUUUGUCGUCACCCAAUCAUGGCAGGCAAUAUCACAUGGGUUCACAUGGGUUCUGAAGGAAUCUUCAAGCUUUCCAACAAGACGUUUUGGCCUCUUCCAUGACAACUCGUCUAUAAAAGGAGACUCCUAAGACCUUAGAGGACAGACUAUCAUUUUCCCUCAGAAAAAUUAGACUCUCCCCUGUAAACUCGUAUCUGUAGCCCAUAUCCACUCUCCUCUGUAACCAAUAUCUUCUGUAUUGAUUAUCAAUAUCUCCUGUAUUGAUUUACAUUACAAAUUUAAGUAAAAUUCUAUUUUCGUUACUUACAUUCUUGUUAUAUUUUAUGUAUAUUUAAGUAUGCUCUGUGUUUGAUCAAGGAUCCUGAUAUUGUUGGUCUUGCCUUGUUCAUUUACAUCAGAAAUCUGUUUAUAUUUAAUUGCACUUAUUUUCAUAAAAUCAGUAUAUAGGCUGGAAACCUGGGACCCGAUCUUUUAGAUCAUUCUCAGGUAUAACAACGUCACGUACUGAGGUUUUCUAUAUAAUGUUUUCUCUUAUAUAUAUAUAUAUAUAUAUAUAUAUAUAUAUAUAUAUAUAUAUAUAUAUAUAUACAAAACUAGAUUUUAAGAUACAAAAUAAAGGAUUUCACACAAAAGUUAAAAUUAUCAUAAAAGCAAUCACACUCAAAACUUAAAAAUAUAAUUAAUUUGGUAUGAAAACUAAAGUCAUCAUGGAUUUAAGAAGAAGAAAUAAACAACAACAUCACGAUUACAUAAUUGGCAUAAAAGAACACAAGAUUUAAGCAAACAUAAAAAACAAUAGGAAUAAAACAUGCACACAACUUUGAUUUAAUUAGCUUGAGGUCAAAAUAUAAACUUAACUCGGAUUAAACAUGAAAAAUAAAUUAUAAAUGAAACAAACACACAUGAACGUGAUAAUUAAAUACAACAACAUGCUUGAAAUUUUAAAACCAAUUUUCAAAGUGCACACAAUUUCAUAUUUAAAGUUAGAGAAUAAUAUAAAUAAUAUUUUAAAAACUUACUUAACAACUUAAGCUAUUGGAUUGAGAUGAUUUUUUGAUAUGGUACUAAAACUUUGAUGACCAAACAGUGGCGAGUUCAAAUCUCAUCAUCUCCAUUUAUUUGAUAAAAAGUAAACACAAAGUAAUGUAAACAUGUGUAAGUUUCAAGACCAAAAAGUUUUUACUUGAGAGGAUAUAUUAGAGAAUAAUAUAAAUCAUAUCUUGAGACCUUACCUAACAGUUUAAAUUUUUAGGUUAAAUAAUUUUGAGCUUUUGAUAACCAAACACUCAUGAUAAUUAAUUACCACAACAUGCUUGGAAUUUUAAAACCAAGUUUCAAAGCUAAAAAAACAUUUUUUUUUAUGUAAACAUGACAAAAGAACACUAUAAUUAAAGUGCACACAAUUUCAUAUUUAACAUGAAAAUUCAAACACGAUAUGUAUUCAAAGUAGACAAUAAUAAAACACAAAAACAACACACAAACAAAUCAAAAUUUCACAUCACAUCAUGACCAAAUUGUUAUGUCUUGGAUAAUGUAAAAAUCAAUACAUCCCAUCCUCCCAAUCUCAUCACGAGCGUUGAACACAAAAUUAUCACUCAUCAAAUUCUCAUGACAAUCUUUGAUCCCUGGGGCAUUAUGAAUCGUCCAAGAUAAAUAUAUUCCACCAUUACAAAUACGCUUAAAUUAAGAAAUGUAGCAAAUAUUAGUAAUAUAAAAUAAAAAUCAGGGGAUGGAAGCACCUUGAUGAUCACUAGAACUUAGUUGAAAUAGUGGUGAUCUAUAGGUUUACAUGUCAUUACUAAUAUUGGUGUGUGGAUCCAUGAGAUUUGUUAUCGUUGAGCUCAUUGAAGGGCAUGUUUAGGGAUGUUAUUUUUGGUUUGUUUAAUUUUCAUAUAAAAAAAUUAACCAAACUAAAAUUAUUAUUUCUUAAAAUUUAAAACCCAAAUAAAAAAUAGUCGAGAAUUGUAACAAAAGCACAUCUUAUAUAUUUAAUGAGCUCAUCGAAUACCAUUUCAAACCCUUCUACGUUAAGAGACCAAAGAUAAAUUACAAAUAAUUAUCGGUCGGGUGGGAAAAAAAAUCCUGAAGGUGACAACACAGCCACCUCUAUAACUGACCGAAGGUUCAUGCUCCAGAUCUCAGAAUUUCAGACAGCCUAAGUAGCUGCGGUAACAAAAAACAAGUAUUAAAUGGCAAAUGAUAAGCACCACGUAAAACUGAGUUGGUGAAACAUGCAUCUCUAGUCUACAAGUGGAUUGAACUAUGCAUCUUUUUGUGUAACCUCUAUCCCUGUAGGUGCUUAGGGUAAUUACAAAAAAUAAGAAUGCAGUCGCAUCUAGCUAAAUACAGCCAAAAUAUCCUAUGAUGGUGAGAAGAAAGGGGAGGGGUGGCAAUGCAAGAGGAAUUAAAGAAAGCAUUAGUAGGAUUCAGGAGUCAGGAUGAGAAGUACCUUUAGCAGAAGGUUAAUCCUGAGGCUUCAUGGCAGGGAAGAGAAGCACCUCCUGCCCCCAAAAAGCAAGCAGAAAUAUGAGUGAUAGAUGAAAAUUUAAACCCCGUGCUGACAUGGUAGCGAGUGUGGCAGCAUUGGCACGCAAACAUGUGGACACGCAAAUAAAAUAAAAUAUGAAGAGGUGAUUUGGCACAAACCUUUAUAUUCUGUGAAUCAGUUAACAACAUAACUAACCGAUCAAUACCCAUUCCCCAUCCACCAGUAGGAGGCAAUCCAUAUUCAAGUGCCGUACAGAAUGUUUCGUCGAAAGCCAUUGCUUCAUCAUCACCUGAUUGUCGAUCCUGAAAUUUGGAAACAAAUUGCUUUCAGGUAUAAUUUCCAGUCAUUAGACUGACAUUGCAAACUGCAAAAUGAUGUGGGUUACCUUGAGUUGUGACUCAAAUCGUUCGCGUUGUACAACAGGGUCAUUCAAUUCAGUGUAUGCAUCGCAAAGCUGAGCAGUCACAGAAUAUCAAACAAUAUAAGAGGCGCAAAUCGAAGUAUAAGUAGGCAGAUGAAUUGAAGGGGAACGAAAAGUAUGAAUGAUGCAACUGAGAAAAAUACCUCAUGCUUGUUGACAAACAAUUCAAAGCGUUCGGUCAAGCCUGGUUUCGAUCUAUGCCACUUUGCCAAAGGACUCAUAAUCUCAGGUUGGUUAAUGAUGAAGGCAGGGUUUACACAAGUCUCUUCUAGAAAAUGUCCCACCAGCUGCAGACAGAAAAAGGUACAAUAACAUGAACCUUGAACAGUUGCUUGGUCCUUUUUUAAUGCUUAAAACAACUCAGCUUUUGACCUCAACAUUAACUCAAAAUCAGUACAGCACGCUCCAUGAUCGGUAAUUACUUCAUCUCUAUGUGUAAAAAGUAUGCAUCGAAGUGUAAUUUUGUUUCAAACAAUGAAUUAUGUGUAAAUGGGUAUCAAAGGCUUCUGUUAGAUUUUGGUGUUCAAAACCCCAAACCAUAGAAAUUCCCACCAUUCAUCCCCAACGAAUGCAGAACACAUGAAAAAACAAAUGCGAAAACAAAUUGAAUGAAAUACUUUCUAAUGUUUCCUUUCAUGAUUAAAGAUUUUCUCAGCAGACCAUAGACCUUGUUUCAUGCACAAGGCUGACUCAUCUACUUAAUUGUGAAAAAGUCUCUCUAUGGUACACACCCCAGGAUACAAGGAGAGAUCCUUUUUCUCAUUCAACGCCAUACAAUUUUACAACAGUCAACUAAACAAAGAGAUGGGGAAGAAGCAUUACUUUAUCCAGCAAACGAGUUGUCGUUUGAGGAGGGGGGCACUUGACCUCAAACCUCUCACAUGCAGCUACAAGAUAUUUGGUAGCUUCAUCACUUGAAAGGUCCUUUGGUAUAUUGAGGUUGGCCAUCUUCUCCAACUCCUCAAUCAUGUCAAUUCGUCUGCAACAGUUAAAAAACUGUUAAUUCAAUCAUCCACACAUAAAGUCAAAAGUUAAAACUAUCCUAUAGAUGAAAAGCAACAUUAUCUAACAGACCUAAAAGGAGGUGUAAAGUCAAUCUCAAUUGGAUCCUUGUCAAGCCCGUUGGCAUGAUAUUUAAUUUUGUAGCCACCUGUAAGUUCCUUGACCAUGCCUAUUUUAAAAAUACAAGUAUUUCAGUAAAAUUAAAAAAAUAAAAACAAUGUAAAAACGAAUUUUGCAGAUCCCAAAUAUUCACUCUUACCGCUCAACAUUUUCUCAGUGAGUUCCAUCAAGUCAUUGUAAUCAGCAUAAGCCAUAUAGAACUCACAAGUUGUGAACUCUGGAUUAUGUGUCAAAUCAAUACCCUCAUUCCUAAAUUGUUUUCCGAUUUCAUAAACACGGUCGAGUCCACCAACAACUAACUCUUUAAGAAAGAGUUCGGGUGCAAUGCGCAUGUACAGUUUCAUGUUCAGGUCAUUAUGAUGGGUUACAAAUGGACGGGCAGCAGCUCCGCCAGCAAUCAUAUUCAUCAUUGGUGUUUCAACCUGAGCACAAAAGUUGAAAAAAUCAGCAAGAAAUAAAUAGUUACAUAUGAGGAAAGCAUUACAGGUAGAGGCUUGCAGAACAGCAAAAUAGAUGACUGACCUCCAAGAAAUCAAGAUUGUCAAGAAAGCUCUUCACAUAUUUAAUGAUUUUAGAUCUGGUCUUGAAUAUUUGUUGAACCUCCAAAUUCAACAUUAGAUCUAGAUAUCGUUGGCGAUAACGUGUUUCCUAAAACAAAACAAUAAAACAAAUAAAUGACUGCUCCAAAGGGACACUGGAAAUUGUCAGAGACCCAUCAUGGAGGCUAUUCUUGUGCUAGAAAGAAUGGAAAGUGUGAUCUUAUAAGUUUCCCCAAGUAUCAUUCUAAGUCAACAGAGAAUAAAUCAAGACACAAAAAAUUUACAAGUUCAACAGUCACCCAGCUCAAAGAUAAUAUAAUGGUUUUAUUGCAUUAUUCACAAAAGAAAACACUAUCAUAGUUUCAAUUGCAUGACUAUUUUGAGUUGGUAAUCUGCUAUUCAAGUAUUACAAGACAGCAAGUCAUGCAACUUAGCUAACAUCAUUACUAGUAAGGCUAAUCCAACUAUAUCAAGCUAAAAAUCUUAGCCAGAAGGUCAGCUUCAUCCAUUAUCCUUUCUAGGCAAAUUCAUCCAGUCUGACAGUAACAUAGACAACAAAACUAAUUCAACCACUCAAAUAGUAAAUGGAAUUGACAGGCACAGCAAACUGGUCUUGUUUAGAAAGUCGUCCAUCCAAAAAAAGAGUUAACAAAGAAUUGAGAAGAAAAGAGACCUGAUCUUUCAAACAGACUUGAUUUCUUUUGGCUAAAUACCUGAUCUUUUAAAAUAUAUGCCUCAGGGUUCCUGACUGUUCCCGGGGCCCAAACCUCAGAUUUCUGUAGAACAAGGACACAAUUCCAUCAUAAUAUAAUUUCAGCCUGAGGCAGUAGAGUAACAAUAAAAGUUUCUAACCUUCACACAAGCAUCCGAGCCAGGGCCAGCUUUCUGCCUCGGCAUCAUGUGCAGACAAUGAGAUAAAACCGUAAAAGAUGUUGGAAACAUGCUCAACUCUCCCCUUUUGGUUUUUCCUGAAUUAUAAAAAAGAAAAAAGUAACAAAUAAAAAAGGCAAAACUAACAUAAUUAAAAGGAUGAAUUCCUAGCAGAAUCUAUAUUUAAGAUUGAAAAAAAAUGACAAGAUUACAGUUAUAGCAUAGCAUCCAUAGCAAGAUGCCUCCAGAAAACAUUACUCAUUCAAUCUGACUUUGAAUAAAACAGAAGGGAGCAAUAUUUUGCAAAUGCCUCAACAUAAUAAUCAAAACAGUCCAACCAGGAAAAAAUAAAAAAGAUGCUUUCCUCUCAAGUGUUGUUUGGUUGGAUCAUGUCUUUAAUUAUUCUGCUGACACAUUGAUAGAAACAUACAAAUGAAUGCCCAUGUGCAAGCAUGCACACAACAAAGGUAUACUUGCCACAUACAGAGAGAACUUUUUAUUACACUUCUAUAAAACGGAGUUAUUGAUCAGUUCAAUUGUUAAAAAUUCACCUAGAAUUCUUCAACAUCAAUAUCUCAAAUGUUUCAAAAAUAUGUCCUGGAGAAUAUAAGUGUAGCUCUCCAUUCUCACCUCACUAUACACAAGUUGCAUUUCUUAGCCAGCACAGAAUAUAGAGAUAUGCUUCAAACAGCAGUCCAGUCUUGAGAACAUGGCCACCAUGGAAGUUGACGAGUAAUUUCUCUAAACUAGGUCUUGCGUACUUUUCUCAACUAAUUCUAUAUAUGCUUUCUACAAGUAUGCAUAUUCAUGGAUACACGAGCACAUGCACGCAUGCAUAUACACACACAGAAUUGGAGGGAGAGGGCUUAAACAUUAUGUACAACAAAUGAGGUCCAGUUCAACACAAGUUGAACUCAUGAUUACUCAAUCUCAGAGAGAAUCAAUCACCCCAAGUUUUCAAUACAAUAUUUGUUGCUAGGGAGAUUUGCAUCUCCUAUGAACACCUCAAUACAAAGUUCAAUAGUUAUUGGUGGCCUUCAGUUGCAAUUAGGUCAGGACAAAGAAAAGAAUUGGGAAUGAAAUAUUUUGUUUGAUAGUACAAAUAUUGAAGGUGAACUAAGACUCUUGUUUAGUUAUUUCUUUGUUGAACAUAUUAUUAGUUAAAAAUAUAAUAUAAAUUCAAAGUUAAGCAUAUUAACCAACACUUGUACCACACCAAACCUGGAAAUCCAGUGACACCAACAAUAUCACCACGCUUCACACUUGAAUGGAGCUUAGAAAACUCCGCUUCAUCAAGGCCUGACUUGCUGAAAUUACAGAAAAGAAAAAUUAUCCAUUUGAAAUAUAAAAGAAGCAAAGAAAGAAGUAAAAAGGAAGAAUGGGGUUGGGAGACACAAUAGCAUGCAACAAAUCAAUCCAAUAUAUCUGGAAGGAGAAGGAGAGACAAUAGAUAAUUUAAUCAAUCUAUCAAUUGAUAUGAGCAUCCAUAUAAACUACUGGAAUAUAAAUAUAAUCAUAAAGCAUAAGGAAGAUAACAAUGAUCCAUCUAUGUAAACGAGAUCAUAAUUUUUUACUUCUAACUUAGCACUAUCCACAUAAAGCAGCUAAAAUUAACAUAGAGAAUGUGAGUUUCAAAAGGUGAAGGUGCUCUUAAAGAUGAAAAUAGUCGCUGUUACAUAAGAAGUUAUUGGAUUGAACAACAAAAAAUGGAAUAUGUUUUACCGCUUUCAACAAAGGAAUCCAAAAAGAAGGAUUUGUUGCCCAUGACCAGGAUGAAAUGCAACAAACUGAGCAUAAACGAGUUUGAAGUGAUGAACAUAUGGAAAAAAAUCUAAUAUACCUUGCAUCAGCCAUCACUUGGACCUUAGUACCAAGACCAUGCAGAUCAUAAAAGAACAGCUUUGAAGAGGAAGAUCGUUUGCUCAUUAUUCGACCUAGUAGAAAACAAAAAUAAAGUUCAACAAAAUGGAACAUGACAACAGCCAAUUAGAUAAAACAAUAGAAUAAAAGUGCCUAUGUUCAAAGUUACCAGCCAAAGACACAGAAACAUCCUCAAGAUGCUCCCCAUUGCUUAACCCCCCAUACUUGUCAAUAUAUUCAGGGAUGGUCAGUGUAACAAAAAACUUAUGAGGGUACAUAUUGUUCCCUUCUGCCUUCUGAGCAUCGAGAUAUUUCAACCUAUUCUCAUAGUAUUGCUGUUAACAUAAAUCAAAACAAAAAACCAAACUCAAAAACCAAACCUUAACAAAACUUCUGUUUUUUGUACUCAUCAAGUGCAGACAAGAUAAAACAAGAAUAAAUACCGUGGGGUCCAUAUCUUCAUCAUCAGCUGCCGCUGCAGAUUUCUGAACCUGGGUGCUGGCCUUGGUAGCAGCCUUCAAAAUGGAGUAGCAGUGUUAAAACACAAUAAAACAGAAAUGCACUUAACAUAAAUAAACAUAAAUGUUCAAAUUAAAACAAAAAGGAAGAUAACUUUUUUGUUUUAUAUGAUUGUAAAGGAAAAUUCCUUAGGCAAUAAGAGGAGCAUAUUACAUGAAGAACAGCUGUAAAGGCUGAAGAGAACAAAAUUUCUGAUCAGUGUGCAGGAACCCAGGAGAGAGAAAAAAAAACAAAGAAAGAUUAAGAGUAGAGUAGAAAAUCUCAGAGAAAGAAAAGGGGUGCUUUGGGAUAAAAAUUUAUGAGGUUCAAUUAUCAAGCCAACCGCAGUACCCCUUUGGAUGUGAUUUGCGAUGGCAUGGAAAACAUGAGAAUAACACACACAAUCCACAAUCAAUUGGUCUACAAUUGUUCUCUUGCCAUUCAUUUACUAUUCCUAGUAAAUAUAGGCAAGCCAAUUUCAUCUAGA
rnacentral:lncRNA from 1 species